AGAAAAGACAAACACUUAAAAUAUUAAAAUCAGGUUCAAAAUGAAUAAUUCAAUAUGAAAAUAAAUACAUUAAUACACAGAUAUAGGUUCAGAUUAAAUGUAAUCAAAAAUAUUAAUGUAAAUAUAGCCUGCGUUUCGAUAAGUGUCAACUGUAACUAAAAAGAGAAACUAAGGGCUUGAAAAAAUGGGGGGUAGGGAAGAAAGAAUAAAAAAAUUAGUUAAUAAACCAAAAAAGGUGCACAUGUGUAAGUAACCUUAUUAAAUUUUUUUUUUAAUCAAACCGUUUUUAAGGAAUGGAAGAAUGCCUAAGCAUUAACAUCCUUCAUAUGAAUGAAACAAAUUCAACUAAUGUGAUGUAUAGCAGAGAUAAAAACUAACAUUUUACUCAGUUUUAGAAUGUGCAUCAGCUCUGAUUGAACUCUAUAUUAUAGAUAACAUGCACAUUGACUUUGCAAUAAAUAAAACUGCAUUUCUGGUUUUUCUUAUGGUCAUCUAUGACAUAGGCAUGAUUUAACUGAAAUUAUAAACAAUUGUUUAUUUUUUUUUGCUAAUCUUAUUGUGUCAAGAUUAGCAAGUAUCAUAAAAAUGAACAAUGGUC